rnacentral:rRNA from 1 species
AACGAACGCUGGCGGCAUGCCUAACACAUGCAAGUCGAACGAGACCUUCGGGUCUAGUGGCGCACGGGUGCGUAACGCGUGGGAACCUGCCCUUAGGUUCGGAAUAACUCCCCGAAAGGGGUGCUAAUACUGGAUAAUGUCUUCGGACCAAAGAUUUAUCGCCUUUGGAUGGGCCCGCGUUGGAUUAGCUAGUUGGUAGGGUAAAAGCCUGCCAAGGCGACGAUCCAUAGCUGGUCUGAGAGGAUGAUCAGCCACACUGGGACUGAGACACGGCCCAGACUCCUACGGGAGGCAGCAGUGGGGAAUAUUGGACAAUGGGCGAAAGCCUGAUCCAGCAAUGCCGCGUGAGUGAUGAAGGCCUUAGGGUUGUAAAGCUCUUUUACCCGGGAUGAUAAUGACAGUACCGGGAGAAUAAGCUCCGGCUAACUCCGUG